GACGAACGCUGGCGGCGUGCUUAACACAUGCAAGUCGAGCGAUGAAGCUUCUUCGGAAGUGGAUUAGCGGCGGACGGGUGAGUAACACGUGGGUAACCUGCCUCAUAGAGGGGAAUAGCCUUCCGAAAGGAAGAUUAAUACCGCAUAAGAUUGUAAUAUCGCAUGAUAUAGCAAUUAAAGGAGUAAUCCGCUAUGAGAUGGACCCGCGUCGCAUUAGCUAGUUGGUGAGGUAACGGCUCACCAAGGCGACGAUGCGUAGCCGACCUGAGAGGGUGAUCGGCCACAUUGGGACUGAGACACGGCCCAGACUCCUACGGGAGGCAGCAGUGGGGAAUAUUGCACAAUGGGGGAAACCCUGAUGCAGCAACGCCGCGUGAGUGAUGACGGUCUUCGGAUUGUAAAGCUCUGUCUUCAGGGACGAUAACGACGGUACCUGAGGAGGAAGCCACGGCUAACUACGUGUCAGCCGCCGCCGUAA
rnacentral:rRNA from 1 species